CUUGGAUGGCUAGCUAUCUCUUUGUUGCGGCCAGCAUCCUCGCGAAGCUCUUGACUCAAUCGCCAUCAGAAGUUUCCAAGAGCGGGAUUUGUUUUGUCACGACCAUAGAACACAUCUUUCGCUGCCGAGGCAACCUGGUCUUUGCUCGUUCCUGCGCCUUUUACGAGUAUUGGUAACAUUUACUUCCUCGACUUGGUUGAUUGAUGAGGAUUCUUCUUCUUCGUUACCUUCUUCUAAGGAGGGAACAUCCUUCAAGCAGUAAGACGCUUUGGGGAACAUUUGUCACUUGGGACGACCACCACCGGUGACAAGCAUUUCUCGAAAUCCAGAAGAAGCAAAAGCUUUUAACGAGCUCGCAGGGAUUUGAUAGGACUGCAAAUCCAAGCCGACUAAACAACCUCAUGCAGGACAAGCAUGGAUGCGUUGUAGCGGGUUCCUUAGUCAGCUGGGAACUGCUUUUCCCAUUCGUCUGACGAUUUCAUGCGAAAGAGCUUGUUUUUUGUUGUGAAAGUUUCAUAUAGACAAACGCGAUCAAGCUCUUGUAAGACAGGACCAAGUUUACAU